AUUGAACGCUGGCGGCAGGCCUAACACAUGCAAGUCGAACGGUAACAGGAAGCAGCUUGCCGCUUCGCUGACGAGUGGCGGACGGGUGAGUAAUGUCUGGGAAACUGCCUGAUGGAGGGGGAUAACUACUGGAAACGGUAGCUAAUACCGCAUAACGUCGCAAGACCAAAGAGGGGGACCUUAGGGCCUCUUGCCAUCGGAUGUGCCCAGAUGGGAUUAGCUAGUAGGUGGGGUAACGGCUCACCUAGGCGACGAUCCCUAGCUGGUCUGAGAGGAUGACCAGCCACACUGGAACUGAGACACGGUCCAGACUCCUACGGGAGGCAGCAGUGGGGAAUAUUGCACAAUGGGCGCAAGCCUGAUGCAGCCAUGCCGCGUGUAUGAAGAAGGCCUUCGGGUUGUAAAGUACUUUCAGCGGGGAGGAAGGGAGUAAAGUUAAUACCUUGGCUCAUUGACGUUACCCGCAGAAGAAGCACCGGCUAACUCCGUG
rnacentral:rRNA from 1 species